rnacentral:rRNA from 1 species
GGAUGAACGCUGGCGGCGUGCCUAAUACAUGCAAGUCGAGCGAACUGAAGAGGAGCUUGCUCCUUUGACGUUAGCGGCGGACGGGUGAGUAACACGUGGGUAACCUACCUAUACGACUGGAAUAACUCCGGGAACCGGGGCUAAUGCCGGAUAAUAUGUUGAACCGCAUGGUUCAACAGUGAAAGACGGUGUUGCUGUCACUUAUAGAUGGCCCCGCGCCGCAUUAGCUAGCUGGUGCGGUAACGGCUCACCAAGGCGAGUAUGCGGAGCCGACCUGCGAGGGUGAUCGGCCACACUGGAACUGGGACACGGUGCCGACUCCGCCGGGAGGGGGCAGGAGGGGAGCUUCCGCAAUGGACGCGUGUCUGACGGAGCAACGCCGAGUGAGUGAUGACGGUCUUCGGAUCGUAAAGCCCCGUUGUGAGUGAAAAACAACCGGGCCAGUACCUGCGCACAUCUCGUCGGCACCACACCCGCACUCCCCGGCUAACCACGUCCC